rnacentral:lncRNA from 1 species
UUGAGGAGGAGGGAGAGAGGAGGCCGAACGGAACCAGCAGCCGCACGCCCACUUCGUCCGCCCGUCCGACCGUCGGCAGCUUCGCCCGUCGCCGUUCGCCGUCGCAACUUGGCCUCGCCGCUCGCUCCUCCGCCUCUCUCUCUCUACCCUUGCGUCGUUGAAGCCUCUUUCCUCCAUUGUUGGUUGCGGUUUGAACGCACCAGCAGAUCUGAGCACGCCGAGGCUAGUUGCAGCCCAGCCAGACCGCCGUCCGCCG